rnacentral:rRNA from 1 species
CAACUUUCAGCAACGGAUCUCUUCCCUCUCGCAUCGAUGAAGAACGCAGCGAAAUGCGAUAAGUAAUGUGAAUUGCAGAAUUCAGUGAAUCAUCGAAUCUUUGAACGCACCUUGCGCCCUUUGGCUAUUCCGAAGGGCAUGCCUGUUUGAGUAUCAUGA